rnacentral:rRNA from 1 species
GGGUGAGUAWUMCUUAGGAAUCUACCUAGUAGUGGGGGAUAGCACGGGGAAACUCGUAUUAAUACCGCAUACGACCUACGGGAGAAAGGGGGCAGUUUACUGCUCUCGCUAUUAGAUGAGCCUAAGUCGGAUUAGCUAGAUGGUGGGGUAAAGGCCUACCAUGGCGACGAUCUGUAGCUGGUCUGAGAGGAUGAUCAGCCACACCGGGACUGAGACACGGCCCGGACUCCUACGGGAGGCAGCAGUGGGGAAUAUUGGACAAUGGGGGAAACCCUGAUCCAGCCAUGCCGCGUGUGUGAAGAAGGCCUUUUGGUUGUAAAGCACUUUAAGCAGUGAAGAAGACUCUUCGGUUAAUACCCGGAGACGAUGACAUUAGCUGCAGAAUAAGCACCGGCUAACUCUGUGCCAGCAGCCGCGGUAAUACAGAGGGUGCAAGCGUUAAUCGGAAUUACUGGGCGUAAAGCGAGCGUAGGUGGCUUGAUAAGUCAGAUGUGAAAUCCCCGGGCUUAACCUGGGAACUGCAUCUGAAACUGUUAGGCUAGAGUAGGUGAGAGGGAAGUAGAAUUUCAGGUGUAGCGGUGAAAUGCGUAGAGAUCUGAAGGAAUACCGAUGGCGAAGGCAGCUUCCUGGCAUCAUACUGACACUGAGGCUCGAAAGCGUGGGUAGCAAACAGGA